AUACGGAGGAUCCGAGCGUUAUCCGGAUUUAUUGGGUUUAAAGGGUGCGCAGGCGGCCAUUUAAGUCAGCGGUUAAAUCGUGGGGCUCAACCCCAUUCUGCCGUUGAUACUGGGUGGCUUGAUUGCGGUCGAGGUUGGCGGAAUUCGUUGUGUAGCGGUGAAAUGCAUAGAUAUGACGAAGAACACCGAUUGCGUAGGCAGCUGACCAGAUCGCAAAUGACGCUCAUGCACGAAAGUGCGGGGAUCGAACAGGAUUAGAUACCCUGGUAGUCCGCACAGUAAACGAUGAAUACUUGUUUUCGGCGAUAUAAUGUCGGAGGCAAAGCGAAAGCGAUAAGUAUUCCACCUGGGGAGUACGCCGGCAACGGUGAAACUUAAAGGAAUUGACGGGG
rnacentral:rRNA from 1 species